rnacentral:misc_RNA from 1 species
GGGAUUCUUUUGUUCAGAUCAUGGUAAUAUCAUCUGUGCUCUUUUUUCCUUUGAAGGAUUAACAAGUUUUGAUCUUUCAUGUUGAGAUUAUAAUGGGAAAGAAGAAAAAAAUCUUUAGUUUUUUUGACUGUUGAUUAUGAACAACACCGACCGUACUGUCCGCAAUAUUAAUUAUGAACAAAAUUGAGUCCAUUGCAAACACAGUCUGCAGUACUCUGCAAAUGGUAAAAUAUGGUUGCUGCUGGCUGCUGGCUGCUGGUAAUGGCCAGAGAUGACUGGUGGCAGUCAGUAUUAGGGUAUGUGCCUAACUGCCUAUAUUGUGAAAAUGAACUCUUCCUUUGAUAAUAAGAAGCCGUUCUCCUUAAAAAUGGUAUAAUUUCUCCUUUGUGAUAAAGCAUUUUUCAUAUCUAAGAGACUCAAAUGCCAAAAAAAAUGCUAAAAAAAGUUCUCCAGGAAAUACUUUCUGUGAAACAAAUGGACCCUUUGUCUUCUUUCCUCCCCUCUUCGUACUGCUUAUUGGUGCAAAUUCUCCAUCCUAAAUAUUGUAUGCCUCUUCAUUUAUAGAGUGAAGGGAAAUAUAAAAACUAAAGGUUUGAAUGUUGUGGUUUCUAGCGCUGGUAUGCAUAACAUGGUUAUCCAUUGUUUGGAUUUGAGAGAGAUAACGUGUUCAGUAAUCUCCAAUAGUUGGGGUUUUACCCUAUUGAACAGGUACCUUGAUUUGUCCAUUCUUAUGCAAAGCAAAGCACUGGAGAAAAUAAAUUUUUUGCUAUUGUUGGUUCUAAUAAUAAGGAGUGGAGGAUGGGAUUGAGGGAGGUCUUAGGUUGAAAGUUUACCAAGCUAAAGAGUUAAAUGAAAUUGAGGAAAAGGAAAGGAUUUUCUUAGCUUAUCCCAUUAAUUGGAUUCUCUUUUACCGCGCUAUCACUUUUUAUUUUCUCUCUUGUGAAUAUGGCUGCAGGUUGCAUCAUUUUUUUUAAUGAUCUUUCGGUGUACUUUUUUUCUCCCAUCCAUUUUCAAUUUUUCCAUUCUCUUUGAAGUUUGGUUGCUUUUCACAUCCAUUUUAGGCUCACUAGCCAAGCAAGCUUCG